UCUCUCACUUGAACUCUUUUAUGAGUUUGAAGUUUGUUUGAAGAAUGUAUAAGGUGUGUCGAAGUAAAACAAAAAUGUGUACUUGACCUUUAUUUUUCCAUCUACUAUUCACUUGAACAUGUGUAUGAAGUCUAUUAACAUAUUCCUCUAAUUUGAGCACAGAUCUGAAGACAAUGAGUAAAAGGGUGGAAUCAGAACAAUAUUACGUGACAUUUGAGAUGUUUGUUGAGGAUGUGAGAAGAAUGUUUGGGAAUGCACGCACCUAUAAUUCUCCAGAAACCAUAUAUUACAAAUGUGCUACAAGGCAUGGUGCUUCAACCUUCUGUGUAUUU
rnacentral:lncRNA from 1 species